CACAGAGAGCAGCUCCGGCCCGGGACAAUGGUGGCAUGGGGCAGCCACAGGUUUGUGGUCUGAGGGUCGCUCCAGCCCAGCCCAGCCCGGCCGAGGCCCAGCUGUGGGGCUGGCAGAGGCCCAGGACGAGUGCCUGGAGGAGCGCCUGGUCCUGCUGAGGGUCCCACUGAGGGUCUGACUGAAGCCCAGCUGGGGGCCUGGGUGAGGGGAUGGAUGAGGCCCCUGCUGAGGGCUUACCCUGCUGAGGCCUCGUUGAGGACCCCACUGUUGGCCUGGCUGUGGCCCAGUGGAGGGAUUGGCCCCACUGAGGCCCAGGUGAGAGAUAUUGGCCCCACUGAGGCCCAGCUGAGAGAUAUUGGCCCCACUGAGGCCCAGCAGCGGGAAUGGCCCCACUGAGGCCCUGAGGAGGGAUUGGCCCCACUGAGGCGCAGCUGAGAGAUAUUGGCCCCACUGAGGCCCUGAGGAGGGAUUGGCCCCACUGAGGCGCAGCUGAGAGAUAUUGGCCCCACUGAGGCCCUGAGGAGGGAUUGGCCCCACUGAGGCCCAGCAGAGGGGUUGGCCCCACUGGGGCCCAGCUGAGGCCCGCUGUGCCAUCAGGGGGCAGCAGCACUGUGGCACUCAAUGUCACAUCUGCACAGACAUGGUGAGAGCUCUGUGUGACUCACUGCCCUGUUGCAGGGACAUGGACACACAUUCACACACUUCUGAUGGUGAAGGGCAGGCACACACACACACACACACAC
ensembl:lncRNA